rfam:Treponema maltophilum ATCC 51939 genomic scaffold aczIZ-supercont-complete, whole genome shotgun sequence.
CUUUUUAUGCCGAGUUUGCGUUGCAAACUCGUUAUCUAUUGCGCUUUCUCAACUCUCGUUUGCGAAAGCGCGAAAAAACUUUUUCGCAAGUUGACACUUGCUUCAAAAGUUUUUUAGGAGG